GGGAGGAAUAUUGUGCAAUGGGGGGAACCCUGACACAGCGACGCCGCGUGAGUGAAGAAGGCCUUCGGGUCGUAAAGCUCUUUUCUAGGGGAUGAGGAAGGACAGUACCUUAGGAAUAAGUCUCGGCUAACUACGUGCCAGCAGCCGCGGUAAAACGUAGGAGGCGAGCGUUAUCCGGAAUCACUGGGCGUAAAGGGCAAGUAGGCGGUCUUUUAAGUCAGGCGUGACAGUGUUCGGCUCAACUGGACAAGGUCGCCUGAGACUGGGGGACUAGAGGGCAGGAGAGGGAAGCGGAAUUCCUAGUGUAGCGGUGGAAUGCUCAGAUAUUAGGAAGAACACCAGUGGCGAAGGCGGCUUUCUGGCCUGCACCUGACGCUGAAGAGCGAAAGCUAGGGGAGCGAACGGGCUUAGAAACCCGUGUAGUCC
rnacentral:rRNA from 1 species